rnacentral:rRNA from 1 species
UACGUAGGUGGCAAGCGUUAUCCGGAUUUAUUGGGCGUAAAGCGUGCGCAGGCGGUUUAUUAAGUCUAAGAUUAAAGCCCGGAGCUUAACUCCGGUUCGUCUUAGAAACUGGUAGACUUGAGUAUGAUAGAGGCAAAUGGAAUUCCUAGUGUAGCGGUGGAAUGCGUAGAUAUUAGGAGGAACACCAGUGGCGAAGGCGAUUUGCUGGGCCAUUACUGACGCUCAUGCACGAAAGCGUGGGGAGCAAAUAGG